GACGAGCGCUGGCGGCGUGCUUAACACAUGCAAGUCGAACGCUGAAGACCUGGCUUUUGUUGGGUUGGGUGAGUGGCGAACGGGUGAGUAACACGUGAGUAACCUGCCCUCUUCUUUGGGAUAACGCCCGGAAACGGGUGCUAAUACUGGAUAUGCACUGAUCUUCGCAUGGGGGUUGGUGGAAAGGUUUGUUCUGGUGGGGGAUGGGCUCGCGGCCUAUCAGCGUGUUGGUGGGGUGAUGGCCUACCAAGGCUUUGACGGGUAGCCGGCCUGAGAGGGUGACCGGUGACAUUGGGACUGAGAUACGGCCCAGACUCCUACGGGAGGCAGCAGUGGGGAAUAGUGCACGAUGGGCGAAAGCCUGAUGCAGCGACGCCGCGUGAGGGAUGGAGGCCUUCGGGUUGUAAACCUCUUUCGCUCAUGGUCAAGCCGCAACUGUGGGUUGUGGUGAGGGUAGUGGGUAAAGAAGCGCCGGCUAACUACGUG
rnacentral:rRNA from 1 species